CGAGAGGCUUUGGCAAUGGGGGAAACCCUGACCAAGCGCCGCCGCGUGGAGGAUGAAGGCCCUUGGGUUGUAAACUCCUUUUGCAGGGGAAGAAAUGCGAUCAGGUGAAUAAUCUGGUCGUUUGACGGUACCCUGCGAAUAAGCUCCGGCUAACUCCGUGCCAGCAGCCGCGGUAAUACGUAGGGAGCAAGCGUUGUUCGGAUUUACUGGGCGUAAAGGGCGCGUAGGCGGCGCGGUAAGUCAGCUGUGAAAUCUCCGAGCUUAACUCGGAACGGCCAGCUGAUACUGCAGUGCUAGAGUGCAGAAGGGGCAAUCGGAAUUCUUGGUGUAGCGGUGAAAUGCGUAGAUAUCAAGAGGAACACCUGAGGUGAAGACGGGUUGCUGGGCUGACACUGACGCUGAGGCGCGAAAGCCAGGGGAGCAAA
rnacentral:rRNA from 1 species